UGCCAGCCGCCGCGGUAAUACGGAGGGUCCAAGCGUUAUCCGGAAUCAUCGGGUUUAAAGGGUGCGUAGGCGGAAUAAUAAGUCAGUGGUGAAAUCUUGCCGCUUAACGGUAAAAUUGCCAUUGAAACUGAAGUUCUUGAAUGUAGUUGAGGUAGGCGGAAUGUGUUGUGUAGCGGUGAAAUGCAUAGAUAUGACACAGAACGCCAAUUGCGAAGGCAGCUUACUAAGCUACGAUUGACGCUGAGGCACGAAAGCGAGGGGAGCGAACAGGAUUAGAUA
rnacentral:rRNA from 1 species